GAAUAUAUAUUAAUAAAGGUAGCAAUGGAUAAGCGAGUCCGGAGCUAACAUUUAGCCAUGAUUAUAACACUGAUUAACUCUUAUCCCCAUCUAGGUUAAAAUUGUUUAAUGCCAGUGAACUUAACCAGGCUUCUUUUCUGAUGGAAAUCAUGGGAUUGAUGUUGAUGAUUUGAGGAAUAAUACACCGUACAUGGUGUUGAUCAAACUCUUAUCGAAGAUUAUGAAGAUGUACCAAGUACCAACAUCCAUCGGCAUUUGAAAAGGAUCCGAUGGCCAAAGAGUCGUGUUUUAGAUGAAAGGAGUUUUGUUCGGCGAGGUUUUCUACUUUUGUAAUUAUUGGGUGAAUAACAAGCUUUCAUAUCAUAAAUAUUUUUGAGAUAUUAAUUGUGCUUUAUAUAUAGAUAUAAAAGUUGGACGUAAUUGUA